UACGUAGGGGGCAAGCGUUGUCCGGAAUCAUUGGGCGUAAAGAGCGCGUAGGCGGUCCGGUAAGUCGGUUGUGAAAACUGGGGGCUCAACCCUCAGAGGCCGACCGAUACUGCCGGGCUAGAGUCCGGAAGAGGCGAGUGGAAUUCCUGGUGUAGCGGUGAAAUGCGCAGAUAUCAGGAGGAACACCAAUGGCGAAGGCGAGUCCCUGGACAACACCUGACACUGAGGCACGAAAGCUAGGGGAGCAAACAGG
rnacentral:rRNA from 1 species